UUGCAUUGACUUAACAUUGAAAUCAUUCGCGCCAGACGCUCUAUUCGCGUUUGGUGUGAACACAGCAUUAUACGCAGCUAAAACGCUGGUGUGGACGGAGAUAUUCGUUUUAAUUCUCCGUUUCUAAACGAAAACGCAGUAGUGUGGACGGGGCCUUAAUUUGUGUGUCUGUGCUGGAGACCAGACCAGAUUAGACCAGAGACAAAGCUUAAAAAAGUCAGAAACAACUAGAAAACUGGGUGCUUUAUUGUGAAAAAGAUAUAAGAAAUGAAAUGUUUAUCACAUCAUCUGUGAACGGGUAAUAAUUCUAGGAGGAAGAGUACAAGUAGAAACAGCCAUAGGGAGAUGGACAGGCAACAGGCUCUUACUCCAUCCUCUGCAAACGGAACAUGUAAAUUAUGUAAAUUGUUGUGUGCCAAUGCUUUGCCUAGGUAAAUCACACACCUCUACUUUGGUGAAGGUCUAUUCUUGACUGUGUUUGUGAUGGAAAUGUUUUUCAGUUCAGUUCCAUGCAUUUUUUUUUCUGAAUUGCAGUACUUACACCUGAAUUACACCUUUGUUUAAACUGAGCUAACUUUAAUUUGACUCUGUACUGCAAAAGAAGUGACCCACUGAAGGUGGUGACUGGGAACUGACACCUUUUUCAUCACACGAAUUAAACUAACAGGUUUCUUCUGUCUUUUUGUUUGUAGGUGCUUCUUGGGCAUCAACCCAGAGACGGGCACAAAAUCUAAGAGGCAGAGAGGUCACAUGAACCAGCAAGUCUGCACUCUUAUCAGGAAGCUCAUUGACUUCGAAUGGAUGUCAAUCUAAUUGGAUAGAACCCACACUAUGCAGGUGCCAGCUGCGAGGGAAGGAGCGAGAUACCUGCGACCCUCUCUAUUCCCACCUUUUUGUCUUUUCUUUCAUCUCUCUCCCUCACUCUCUCUUCUCUGUCUCUUUCUUUCUCUUUUGACACACAUUCCUGUUACCCAGUGUCAAUCCCUGUUGCCCAGUGUUUUAUUCAUGUAAUUAAAUUGUAUUUUACUUCUAAAAAAUAAAAGUUAUGUCACUGUU